AGUAACACUGGGUAACCUGCCUUAUGAGGGGGGAUAACAGAGAGAAAUCACUGCUAAUACCGCAUAAGCACACAGUACCGCAUGGUACAGGGUGAAAAGAUUUAUCGCCAUAAGAUGGACCCGCGUCUGAUUAGCCAGUUGGCAGGGUAAAAGCCUACCAAAGCAACGAUCAGUAGCCGAUCUGAGAGGAUGACCGGCCACAUUGGGACUGAGACACGGCCCAA
rnacentral:rRNA from 1 species